GGGGGACUCUCGAAGUAACCAAGAACCGAAUGGGAAUGAUUCCUUUACUAUUACUGAACGGAUGGGAAUGUGACCAGUCAAGUGCAGUCCCGUCCGGCGAGUUACACAGUAAACAUCGCCAGGCAUACAAAUAAGCGCAAUAGAAUCAAAGACUACACUCGAAGAUGGACAACCAAUGUGCAAGAAACAACAAUUAUGCAAAUACAAAGAGAAAAACAAAAUAUUAAAUAAUAUUGAGAACCUGAGUUGUAGAGACCCUGAAAGCGCUUUCAGUAUUGCAGCUUAUGCGUCCACGUGUGUGGACGAUUGCUCAGCUUCUGACGCCAGACAGAAGUCUUGCUGCAAAGGUUUCAGCGUGUGAGGAAGCACAUCCGGAGAGAACAUGACCUUUGCUGCAUUUUUCCAUUCGAACGCACACAAUCCAGGCUCCACCAGGGAGAAAGAGCAUAUUAAAUAGAACAUAAAAAUCAAAUUGACUAUGGCUUGGAAGCAUCUCAAUGCACUUCAUAUUGAAUGGAUUUUUCUGUGAUGAAUGUUUACUGAAUUGAAUGGUCUGGAAAGAGCCCAAGUACAAUCCUCACUCAUGGCUAAUAGCAGAGCUCUCGAUGGCAAUAGCUAUAAGCAUCAUCCCAGAACAGUUAAAAUACCAGUAGCUGCUGCAAAAAUAAUCUGAAAGCUCAAGACAGACGCUCAUCUUUGGUAAAAUAGAAAAGAGUUUCCUAUUGCAUCUCCAGUGCAUAAAUGGUGUCCCUAUUGUCCGUUCAUGGUAAGUUAGCAUUUUUUAUUCUAUUCUAAAAUAGAUUACUGGACAUCCAAUCGAAGGAAACAUUAACCAUUUCCCUCUCCCCAUAAGAUAUUGCCCUGUCUGUUGAAUAUUUACAGUAUUUACAAUAAUAUAUAUUUCAAGUUAUUGGACUUAAUGCCUAAAUUGGCUUUAAAAGCUGGAAAAUCUCCUGAAAAUGGCCAUCAUCAGGAAUGAGGAUGGACAAGAUUCUGCCAUUUCAAUUUGUGCAGAUAUAUUAUUUAGCCAUAAAUCCAUCAUCCCACCAUACACAUUUGUUUACUUAAUUGAAAAUUUGAUUACCGUUCCAAAAUUGUGGAGGUAUAGCAUGGUCAUUAUUAAAAAUGGGGUCCGUUCCUCACAGUGCUGAGGUAAUGACAACAGAUAUGCCCAAUUCCAUCUUGAAUCUGGUAAAGUUCCUCUGAAUAAAUAGCUCUCAAAAUCAACUAUUUCCUCUUUAUUAUCCCUGCCAAAAUAAUUUUUCCAUCUCAGACUUUAGAGUGUAAGAAUAGCCAUCACAUUAGAGUGAAAAAUAUAAUUGAAGGAUGUAAACUGGAGAACCAGCAGGGUAAUUUCCAAUUCCAGCAACCAUGAAGGGCGUAACAACUUCUUCACUGGCUGUUCAUGUUCCUGUGAAAUCUUAUAUUUUCUGUGCAAAGCCUGUCCAAUGAUGGGUCCAACCAAAGCUAGCCUUCAAUCAAAAGCAUAACGCUAUGCCAGCAUUCCUAACAAAUGUUUGGAAACUUGCAAAGGUCCAAACCUGGCUACUGCUCACCUCAUAAGAUUGGUACGCACUUGUUGUUCAUCAGGGUAUAUACGGCCACGUCCUUCCCUGGAUAAAACAAUCUCAAACAAGCUUGCUCUGCUACAUAAACUGCAGUUAACCAUUACGGUUAAUUCAAAGCACUUGUGACCUUUGAAAUAAUG